GCUACACAUGCAGUCGAACGGCAGCACAGAGGAGCUUGCUCCUUGGGUGGCGAGUGGCGGACGGGUGAGGAAUACAUCGGAAUCUACUCUUUCGUGGGGGAUAACGUAGGGAAACUUACGCUAAUACCGCAUACGCCCUUCGGGGGAAAGCAGGGGAUCGCAAGACCUUGCGCGAUUGAAUGAGCCGAUGUCGGAUUAGCUAGUUGGCGGGGUAACGGCCCACCAAGGCGACGAUCCGUAGCUGGUCUGAGAGGAUGAUCAGCCACACUGGAACUGAGACACGGUCCAGACUCCUACGGGAGGCAGCAGUGGGGAAUAUUGGACAAUGGGCGCAAGCCUGAUCCAGCCAUACCGCGUGGGUGAAGAAGGCCUUCGGGUUGUAAAGCCCUUUUGUUGGGAAAGAAAAGCAUUCGGUUAAUACCCGAGUGUUCUGACGGUACCCAAAGAAUAAGCACCGGCUAACUUCGUGCCAGCAGCCGCGGUAAUACGAAGGGUGCAAGCGUUACUCGGAAUUACUGGGCGUAAAGCGUGCGUAGGUGGUGAUUUAAGUCCGUUGUGAAAGCCCUGGGCUCAACCUGGGAAUUGCAGUGGAUACUGGGUCACUAGAGUGUGGUAGAGGAUAGUGGAAUUUCCGGUGUAGCAGUGAAAUGCGUAGAGAUCGGAAGGAACAUCUGUGGCGAAGGCGACUAUCUGGGCCAACACUGACACUGAGGCACGAAAGCGUGGGGAGCAAACAGGAUUA
rnacentral:rRNA from 2 species